GGCGCGCGGAGCACCGCGGGAAGGGUAGUUCGGCCCGCCAGCAGCGGGAGGGGCGGAGCCGCGUCUCCUAGGAGACGGCCGCCCCGGGGCACCAUGGGAGUUGUAGUGCGCUGCCCUUGGGAGCGCCGCCAUUUGCAACCCGUGUGCGCUUUAUAGUUCGAGCGGGAAGUCUCAUUUCGCGUCCAAAAGGUGCGAGUGUCCUUUGUGGAGCUGUAGGCGCUGCCUGAGGGAGAAGCAGGAACUUGCUGAGAGGCAAAGUGGUUUUCUCCAUCUUUGGGUGGGAAUUCUAUCUCAGAAUUCAAGUUCAAAGACCUCAGCUCCUGUGGGCUUUCCAGCACUGCAGAGAGUGACGUGCUUGAAGCUGUGACCACCGCUCGUCUGAUCAAGAUCAUGCUGGUUUUGUGGUUCAGGGAGUUAUUUGGCUGAUGGGUCUUUCAAAAGAAAAAUAAUUGCAGAGGAACUGAGGCUAACCAUUGUUGAACUGCUGGUGCAUGAGGAGCAGACCUGGGCUAAGGAUGUCUUUCAAGUGUAUUUAUUAGGCAGGAAGUAGGAAUAAGCACGCAGAAGGCUGUGCAGGCUGCCUGCAGAUCAGUGCAUUGAUCACUUUGUCUUCAAAACGCACAUAUCUGUCAAGUUUGACACCGUCUGGCAUCCUAUGUUUCCCUUGUGUUAAUGAUUGCUUACAAAAGCUUAUUAAUGUUAGAUCUGCUGUGGCAGAGGAUGUAGUUUGCAAGCUGUGUAUCCCCAGCCACAAUGGAAAUGUCCCAUUCUGGCUGCUGCUGCUGCUCUGCAUUCUGACAUGUCCUCAAGCUGUGCUUUGGGGAAGAGUUGGUUUUCUCAGAUCUGUGAGGAAACGGCAUUUGUGCAUGGAAGUAUAACCAUUCAAAUAUGGUUGUAUGGGGAAGCUUGAAGGCUUUGAUCAUCUUACAGAGUUCUGGAGAAUUACCAACAAAACAAAAAAAACCCACAGUUUAGGAAGCUUAAUAUUGACAGGAACUCUCACGUUAGUAGUCAUGGUCUUCCAGCUUUGCUUACUGCUUGGUGACACAUGAGCAGGACCACAUAUUUGGCUGUUUCAUGAUCAGGAACAAUAUGAUUUCUUUUGGCUUUGUGGGGAGUGGAAGGGAGGACUGAAGAGCUCACUCUGCAGCAAAGCAGAGCAGCAGUUGGAUGGGAACAUCUCCGGCAGGGGUUCAGUAGGCACACUUAUUAAAACUCAUCUCUCUUCCCCCAUGAGAAAUCUGCAUUUUUACUGAAUUUAGUUAUGGAAAUUGAAUAUA